ensembl:lncRNA
CCUGAUUGACAACAUGGAGCAUCAGGCCAUGCGUCAUAACAAACUUUAAAAUAAACCGGCUUCAACAUCACUACCCCCCGUCCUCUGUUCUGAGGAGCACAGAAAAGCCAUCUGGGUGGAGUGUGGCAGACACCUAGGUUGUCUGACAACUGGAGGGUUGCUGGUUCUAUGCUGACUCCUCCUACCCAAGUGCUUGAAAUUGCUUCUGGCUGUUGCCUUGCAUGCUUGACAACACCGUCAGUGUGUGAUUGUGAGGAGCCUGGUAUUUUAAAAAGGCCUUUGCUUCAACUCCUGCCCAGCUUCUAUACGAAGUUCUUAUAUUGCAUAAACGCAUACAUUUCCUUUUAGUGUGUUGAUUUUUUGUGUUG